GACGGAGGAUGCAAGCGUUAUCCGGAAUUAUUGGGCGUAAAGCGUCCGCAGGUGGACAUACAAGUCUGCUGUCAAAGUGCAGAGCUUAACUCUGUAAAGGCGGUGGAAACUGUAGGUCUUGAGUAUGGUAGGGGUAGAGGGAAUUCCCGGUGUAGCGGUGAAUGCGUAGAUAUCGGGAAGAACACCAGUGCGAAGCGCUCUACUGGCCAUAACUGACACUGAGGACGAAGCUAGGGAGCGAAGG
rnacentral:rRNA from 1 species